UCACUGGCCACGCGGGACUCUGCACAGUAUUACUUUGUCCUGCACCGUCAGACCUGGAAUGCCCUCUUCACCCUCUACUUGUCAAAAUCCUCACUAUCCUCCAGGACCAGCAAAGUUUGCAGUGUCUUUCGUUAAGGAGGCUGCGGGUCCUCUGAAUUUCCCUGGGAGCCUGAGCCUCACCCACCUGCCCGGGAGAAGCCGUGAGCGGUGCCCUGACUCCUCCCGUCCAACAGGAGGCGCGACCCCG